UGCAGUGUCUUAGUGGUUAAGGCUUUGAAUUACAGAGCAGAAGGUCUUGUGUUCAAAUCCCAGCACUGCCA